rnacentral:rRNA from 1 species
UGCGUAGGCGGAAUAUUAAGUCAGUGGUGAAAUCCUGCGGCUCAACCGUAGAACUGCCAUUGAUACUGAUAUUCUUGAAUAUAGUUGAGGUAGGCGGAAUGUGUAAUGUAGCGGUGAAAUGCUUAGAUAUUACACAGAACACCGAUUGCGAAGGCAGCUUACUAAACUAUUAUUGACGCUGAGGUACGAAAGCGUGGGGAGCGAACAGGAUUAGAUACCCUGGUAGUC